GCUUUGGCUUAGUUUUGCUUGCUUGCACUGAAAAUAAAACAGACUUUGUGAGGCUUCUGAGGUUUACAAAAUUCAAACAAAAAAGUAUUGGAUCUGAUAGGAGAAAAGUGAACAAGCAGAUUUCUAUCAAGAUACUGGAAAUACCUUCCCAGUCCAGCAUGCAGUCAUGCCAGUGACAUGACUUGGACACAUCAACGGACAACGCGGGCUCUUCAGCUUAGAAUUGGAGGUGAGCACUACCCCUAGAGGCAGACAUGACUAGACUUAAUGUCAAGGGGAAACAUUUACCUUACUAUGAAUAUAGUAAUCUGAUGUUAAGACAACUGGCCUAAAUCCAAUUAUAUUAAUAGCAUGCACUUGAUCAAUAGA
rnacentral:lncRNA from 1 species